GGAACCGUGCCCGAAUGCCCAGGGACCACUUUGAUAGAGUGGCUUAUGAGGGUUAAAGUCCCUCCCGUUCCU
rnacentral:tRNA from 1 species